rnacentral:lncRNA from 1 species
ACCUCUCUCCGUCAUAACAUAGAAAAUGAAAAAUGUUUCAGAAAUUAACAUAUAAAUGUAUGUAUCACCACAGUAUUUUUGGGGGGCAACGUAGCAUAUAAAUAUAGAUCAGCAUUAGGUGAUUUCUUCCCAUAUGUUCUAGUUUUGAGGGACUGAGUUACUUGAUACAUGUUGCUAAUGGGAGGUGGCAGAUACCCGUGGCUACUCAAGCACCACGGUUAUAAAUGAAAGAUAUGUAAGAUUUGAAAUCUUGAAAAUAAGGUAGGCGAAAGAAAAAUCAGGACAAGCAGCUGACAUUAGGGGUG